CACCAUCACAGAGGCUACCAUCAUCACAGAACCACCUGAGGACACUGAGGUGAAGGUUGGUGAUGAGGUGAUCCUGAGGUGUGGCGCUUCAUUCGACCCCAUGCUGGACGUCACAUUCAUCUGGACCAUCGACUACAGGAUCAUCGACUUUCACUCUGAGUGGGAUCACUACGAACGCGUUUUGAGUGAAGAUGGCAGUGGUGAUCUGAGAAUAAAGAAUGUCCAGAUUUGGCACGAAGGUCGCUACGCCUGCACCACUCAGUCAGUGGUGGACAGCGACUCUGCAUACGCUGACCUCAAGAUUG